ACUCCAUCUGACCUACUUCACAGGCUGGGCUGCCAUGAGCGGCUGCUGCAGGCUGUGCACUGCACAAGGCCAAGGCUUACCAUUUGCAUGGUCUGCGGAGGAAUGGUGCUCCUGAGAGCUGUUCUCUGCAGCAGCUUUGCUCAUGGGGCACUGGUGAGCAGCAAACAGAAUCAUCGUCUUCAUCACCAUCAGCAGGAGCAGUGACUUUACCAAUGAUUGAUCAGCUGUUAUGUGCCAGGCUCUGUGCUAAGUGCUUUACAUUUUAUCCUCCCCUCCACCCUAUAUCAGGUAAGUACUGUUAUAUCUCAUCCCCAUUUUAUAAGUGAGAACACUGAGGCCAAAGGAAUUAAGUGAUCGGUCAGAGGUCAGUCAGAUCGGGAGUGAUGGGGCUGUAAUCCAAAUGCUGGGCUGGCUGACUCCUAAGUUCACACUUUGUCUUCAUUCAUGAUACAAAAGAGAUGUCUGUUUUCCUGAGGCCCACGGGCAGGGGAGGCAGGACUCCUAAGCCUGGGCCCUCUGACUGCCUGGGCCAGUGUUUCCGUGCCAGAAACCCUGUCUCAGAGGGCAGGAAAGAGAAUGGGGAGCCCUUGCAGAAUGUGGUUGGAUCCUUCUCUCUUGGCUCUGUCAUCCUUGCCUUGGGAUGUCCUCCCAACACAGGCCAUUAAUCUCACUCAAGGGCCAGUGCUGGCAGCGGUUAUGCUGGGGACAUCUACAUACCUUGCAUUCCUCCCCUUUCACAGAAAGGAAGAAGAAAUGGAAUUUCUGUCAGAUUGCUUGAACUCACUCUCUGGAAUCACUGCGCCCAUCUUUUCAGAGAUGUUGCUACCAGAAUCAUUCCCCCCUUCUCUUAUUUAUAUACACUCACACAAUUAGAUAUAACUAUAUUCACACAUAGACACAUAUUACAACUUGAACUUAGCACCUGCUCUUGAUAUGUAUGCCCAGAAGGCUGUCACACAAUCUUGCACACACCCACACAUUUGCACAUGCCCAUCCAGCUGAGCAACAUGUAUUUACACAGCACACACAUUUGCAUCAUAUCUGUUCAUGUGCAUGCAUGUGCACAGCUGUUCCCCUUAACUGCAGAAUGAAGUGAGCACAGCAGCACAGAACAACAGCUGGUAGGAAGCAUGUUUGUCGGGGUGUGGGGAGUGCAGGAGAGAGGAGGUGGGGUGGGGCCGGGAAGAAGUGAGUACUAGCAGAACAGAGGCUUGCAAAAGACUGCAGCAACCAGCCCCAGCUGGCUGUAGGGGCUCACAGUCUUGUCACUUAGAAGGUCUGUCUGAGAGACCUUGGUGGAGUGCAGCUUCAGCAUUUGGGGCCACAGCUCUGCAGGCUUUUUCUCUAAAAGGCUGCCCUAUUUGUGUUGUGUGUCCCUGUACACGUGCGUAUUUGGCUCAGGCUGACUUUCCAUACACAGACAGGGCUCUAUUUUUGGAUGUCUUGGUUCUCAUGAGUUGUGGCUAAGUGAGGAAGUCUGAGUCUCUCCUGAUGCCCACGCUUCCAGGAUGGCUCCUGGCUGUCUGCGUUAGCAGGUCACUUUUGGGCUAGCUACCUAUACCAGUCCAAAGGCUUGAUACAGGAACCACAUCAGAAUUGGUGACAAAACAAGCUGGGGGGCUCCUAAAGGAAGAUACUGGGAUUCUCAAUAGGCCAUCACCCAAGGGAAGCAGUAUUCUCCUCCUGCGACCAUGCCAUGGGAUGAAAGCCUCUGCCCUGUAUGUCUGGCCACCUUGCUAAAAACUGUCAGCCAGCUCUAGGCAGCUCCAGAGCUGUAUGACAGGAGUGGGAGGACUCUUGGGUCAGAACUGUAUUUGUGGGUGGUAAAUUUAUAUCUUACCCACUGAAUAUAGCUUUUUAUGGCUCAAGACAUAGGUUUGGUUUUCUUAAAAAAAGGUUUUCUUAAUUCAAAAAAUGUACACAUUUAUAGUAAGAAUACAAACAGUACAAAGAUGUCAGUCCUUUUCUACUCGUGCCAAAAUUAUAAACAGUUUAUUUGCAUCAUUCUGCAAAUUUUAUAUAUGUCUUUGUGAUAUGGUUUGGAGGUUUGUCCUCUUCAAAUCUCAUGUUGAAAUGUGAUCCCCAGUAUUGAAGGUGGGGCCUGGUGGGAGGUGAUUGGGUCAUGAGGUCGGAUUCCUCAGGAAUGGUUUGGCACUAACCUCUUGGUGAUAAGUGAGUUGUUGAUCAGUUUGUUCACAUGAGAUCUGGUUGUUUAAAAGUCUGAGACCUCUCCUUCCCUCUCUCUUGCACCUUCUCUCCCCAUGUGAUGUACCUGCUCCUGCUUCACCUUCUGCCAUGAUUGGAAGCUUCCUGAGGCCUCACCAGAAGCUGAGAAGAUACUGGAACCGUGCUUCCUGUACAGCCUGCAGAACUGUGAGCCAAUUAAACCUCUUUUCUUUAUAAAUUAUCCCACCUCAGAUAUUUCUUUAUAGUAAUGUAAGAAUGGUCUAACACUACGUAUGUGCAAGUGUAUAUGUAUAUGUAAUGUAUACCUAUGUGUAUGUGCAUAAAUGGAAAAUGCACUGUGGUAAAUUACAGAUGGCUACAAACACUUAGCCACUCCUCCCAGAAAGAGGUGGAGGCUACCUCUCCUAUUUUAGAACUGCCAUGGCACUGUGACUUGCCUUGACCACUAAAAUGUUGAGAAAGUGAUGCUGCGUAACUUCUGGGAAAAACUUUAAGAGAUUUGCUGUUUCUGCUUGCAGUCACUUAGAAUGCUCCUUUUCAGAAUCUGGCCCCUGUGCUGUGAGAAGCCUACCCCACAUGGAAAUAUACACAGAGGAAAAUGGAGGCAGUGGCCAAAAACAUAAGUCAAGCUCCUAGUCAACAGCCAGUGCUGAUUAUCAGCCAUGUGAGUGAACCACUAGGGCCUUCUAGCCCAGUCAAGCCUUCAGAUGACUGCAGCCCCCGAUGUCACUAUACGGAGCAGGUGAACCACUCAACUGAACAUUGCCAAGCCACAGAACCAUGAAAGGGAAGACUGGAAAUAGAGUCCUUUAUCUCAGAUAUCAAACCCUGGCCCAGGAUACACAAGACCAGGAGUCAUCACCAUCAGUAACAGUAACAACAGCUUCAUUAACAAGUUGCUGUUCCGACGUGGGCUCCGGGGUGGGGAAGGAAGGAGGGCGUUCGGCUCAACGUCCAGGAGAGGCACCGGCGAACUCGAGAGCCAAGAGCGGCACUCCCACCUGGGCACUCCUUGCUGAUGGACCGGGACCUCCUCUCCCAUUUCUCCGGGGCCUCCAGGGCCCUCCCGCACAUUCAGCAUGAUCUCUGAGGAGUUCACUAGCUUUCCUCCCUCCGCUCUCCAGCUCCCGUUCCUACCAAAUGCACCAAUCAUCACUAAGCCAGGUCAAAGGCCAUGGGAUCAGCUGUGAUCUCUCCCUUCCUUUUUCAUUCUCCUCUCCUCAUAUCCAAACUGUCAUUAAACUCAGUGUUUCUUCCUUCA